ACAGCAGCCGCCGCGGUAAUACGUAGGGUGCGAGCGUUAAUCGGAAUUACUGGGCGUAAAGCGUGCGCAGGCGGUUCGGAAAGAGAGAUGUGAAAUCCCAGGGCUUAACCUUGGAACUGCAUUUUUAACUACCGGACUAGAGUGUGUCAGAGGGAGGUGGAAUUCCGCGUGUAGCAGUGAAAUGCGUAGAGAUGCGGAGGAACAUCAGUGGCGAAGGCGGCCAUCUAGGACAACACUGACGCUGAGGCACGAAAGCGUGGGGAGCAAACAGGAUUAGAUACCCCCGUAGUCCCUGUCUCUUAUAC
rnacentral:rRNA from 1 species